UGGGGAAUUUUGGACAAUGGGCGAAAGCCUGAUCCAGCAAUGCCGCGUGUGUGAAGAAGGCCUUCGGGUUGUAAAGCACUUUUGUCCGGAAAGAAAUCCUUGGCUCUAAUACAGUCGGGGGAUGACGGUACCGGAAGAAUAAGCACCGGCUAACUACGUGCCAGCAGCCGCGGUAAUACGUAGGGUGCAAGCGUUAAUCGGAAUUACUGGGCGUAAAGCGUGCGCAGGCGGUUUGCUAAGACCGAUGUGAAAUCCCCGGGCUCAACCUGGGAACUGCAUUGGUGACUGGCAGGCUAGAGUAUGGCAGAGGGGGGUAGAAUUCCACGUGUAGCAGUGAAAUGCGUAGAGAUGUGGAGGAAUACCGAUGGCGAAGGCAGCCCCCUGGGCCAAUACUGACGCUCAUGCACGAAAGCGUGGGGAGCAAACAGGAUUAGAUGCCCUGGUAGUCCACGCCCUAAACGAUGUCAACUAGUUGUUGGGGAUUCAUUUCCUUAGUAACGUAGCUAACGCGUGAAGUUGACCGCCUGGGGAGUACGGUCGCAAGAUUAAAACUCAAAUGAAUUGACGGGGU
rnacentral:rRNA from 1 species